rnacentral:lncRNA from 1 species
CGCCACUACUUUAUGUAUCCAAAUCAAGUUUUGUACAUCCCGAUUCAUACUGGUUUUGAUUAGAAUGAUGAAAAAGUUGUCAUAUUCCCAAACAGGAAAACUGGGUUCACCUAAUUUGAAAGUGGAAUAACUUCUUCAUCCUAACUCCUAUGAGAUUUAUUCAACUUCCUGGUGAUUCUCCUCUACUUUAUGUAUCCAAAUCAAGCUUUAUUUAUCACGAUUGAUCCUGGUUUUAUUAGAAUGACGAAGAAGUUGUCGUAUUCUAAAACAGGGAAAUUGGGAUCACCUAAAUAUGAGAUUUAUUCAACUUCCUGGUGAUUCUCCACUACUUUAUGUAUCCACA